rnacentral:misc_RNA from 1 species
ACACUGAUGGAAGCCAAGAAGGUCCUGCUACCAUUUAGUCUUCCUAAAAUGGCAAGGCAAUUCUUGACAUUGUCUUUUCUUGUUCACGCAUUGUCUUACGCCGCCGUUGUGUUUACAGUUGGCGUCUUUGUCCUGAUUCCGGCAGAUCUCGCCAGUGACCGUGGCCUUAAUCCUUCGAAUGUUGUUUAUUUCCUGCAAGCUUUCUCCGCAGCGGACAUCGCCUUCAGAUCGGUAGUGGGCAUCGCCAUUGAUUCGCGUACCUUAUCAUAUGAAUCGAUCAUGCUACUCGGGUUCGCAGUGCAGGGACUCACUUACGAGUGGCUCGUCUGGGCGAAUACACUACCGCAAAUGAUUACCGCUUCCGCCUUCGUGGGUGCCACGUAUGGGUCAAGAUCGUGCCUCCUGGCACCCGCCUUGGUCAAGGACUUCGGCAUCGGCACGUUGCCGGUGAUUAUGGGUGGUGUGUUCUUCUGCACAGGUGUAUCUCUUCUUCUCCGUCCACCACUGAUCGGAUACUUCAGAGACAGCUAUGGCGACUACACUGGACUACUACAUUUGAUGGCUGUUCUCAAUGCAUCCUUCAUGUGCAUUUGGACGUUCAAGUUGGUCACUAAGAGGAGAGCAAGGUCAAAUGUGUCAUCUCCACCUGCAC